rnacentral:lncRNA from 1 species
GUGCUGAAUUGUUGGUCUUCCUGGGGAAAGCUCUAGGGCAGAGCUAGCAAAAUAUCAAGAUAGCAGGUGUCACAACUGCCCCUCAGUCCGAGGAUCGUCCUCUACAUAUUCCUGCUCCCUCUCUCCUCCUCUCCCUUAUUCCUUCCCAUGUCUCCCACCCCAAUCUCUCAAAUAUCUACUUUUGUCUUCAAAUCUACUUCUUGGAAAUCAUGAACAAAAGAGGAUUUGCAUUUGAUAAGAUCCAAAGAGAGAAGGGGAUAAGCCAUAUACUUCUGACACUGGUCACCAGGUGCUUUUUUUUUUUUUGACUGAACACCUGAUGGAGCUGUUAGAAUGAAGUCACGUCUGAGGUGAUACAGACUGGCUUCCCCUUUUGGGCAGUGCCCAGGAGGGACAGAUGACUCAUCAUAGAGUGGAUGGGGGUGGAGGAUCCUGGCUCCAUCUUGGAACACAGGCUAAUUAGGGGUGAGAAGGAAUAGACAGAUCCACACAAACAACCUGCUCCACCUCCAAGUUUCUCAACUGAGAUCGAGGUGAGACAUCAGCUCAGCAGAGAAAGACAGAGGUUGUGUGCUCAAUUCCCUUUGCACUUUCCAUUCAGGUUUUGGGGUGUACUUCUGGGACCCCUUAUGUCUUUCAGGGUUUCCCUGGAUAUUCAUUAGUCCAGCAUCCCUGUAGGGAAAAGAUGGGGCACUUUGCCUGGUUUUGUACCAGGCAAAGCUUUAGACCAUCAGAGCUUCAGACCAUUCCCUUGUUUGUAGCUGGGCCAGUGUGAGUGUGAAAAGCAAAGGGAGGUGGGGCAGAGGGACCAUGGACAGUACCCAAAUGGGAGUCAUAUCUCCACCAUCAGGUUUAGAACCUGUGAACUGGAAAUCUUAGAAAAUAAUCAUAAAAUUAUACUGGCUUUUUUUGCCCUAAGGACUGUGGAGAGAGAUUCUUGCAGAAAUCUUGCCUUGCCCAACCCAGCCCAUGACUUUCCCCACCACCAGGAAAGCACUGGUUAAGGAGGUGAUUCAGAGUUAGGUUCCCCAGGUGGGUCCAUUGAUGAGUGACCUCUCCUUGGCAACCGGACAUACUUUCAUCAUUCAGGGAGGAACACUGAGCUAGGAGGUAGAAUCUCUGGGUCCUGCUUUUGAUGCUUACACAAACUUACUAUGUAGCUUUGAGUAAGGUAGCAAGCCUCUCACCCUCAGUGUCCUGUGUAGCCAAACUGAUUGACCUGUGAGGCAAUGUGUGUCCCAGUCCUGCCAUUCCUUAUAUCACCAGUCAUUGUCUUAAUAAAAAACUGGCACUGGAACAUAGCAAUGUGAUUCCAUGUUUCAAAUUGAGGUUGUCCUUGUAAGUCUGGGUAGCCAUCUUUGCAGCAUUGGCUCUUUCAAAAGAAAAUUAUUUUCAUAAAUAUUUCAUUGGAUAAUCCCCAUUUAUCAGGAAGACUUAAUAAAGCAUCUUCUGUAGACACAGAAGCAUGUUAUUGCCUACUUACUUCAGAGUUAGGUUACCAGGCAUAUUCAUAAAAAAAAAAGCAUAUUACUUUAGUCAAACUUUACAGAGAAGAUAGAUUGCCUACAAAGAAGUUAUUGUAAUAAAGCUCAUAAUUUUUUCAAGAGUAUGCUAAAUAUAUAUAUAUAUA